CGAGUCCUGCCGCCGUUCCGGACGACUGGUCGACAAGAGUGGACCGGCAGGAGUGGAGGACCCGAGUACUUCGGGAAGGCCGUACCCCGGCCGUCCCUCGGGGUGAAGCCGCAUGCGCGGCCGGGCGUCUUCGCCAGUCCGAACCCGACAGGUCAUCCUUCGCAGGCGGUUUGACGAAGGGUUG
rnacentral:sRNA from 2 species